rnacentral:rRNA from 1 species
GCCUUCAUGAAGCUGGAAUCGCUAGUAAUCGCGCAUCAGCCAUGGCGCGGUGAAUAUGUUCCUGAGCCUUGUACACACCGCCCGUCAAGCCACGAAAGCGGGGAGUGCUCGAAGUCGUUCUGCCAAACCGUAAGGAUGGCGGCGCCUAAAGCAAGCUCCGUGAUUGGGACUAAGUCGUAACAAGGUAGCCGUAGGGGAACCUGCGGCUGGAUCACCUCCUUUCUAA